AGGUUUGGCAAAAGCUGUAUACUUCUAAGUGACAAGUUUGCUAAUUAUAGAGAAAUUUUAGUAUAGGAUUUGCGCAUAAAAAUGGAAUUCCAAAAAAUUAUAUGGUUCAUUUGCAAAUUUUCUAGUUUAUUACUGCUUCCAAGACCAGGAUUUAUAUUUGUAUAACUCAAAGGUCUAGCUUAUAUUUUAAAUCAAUUCAUCACAUUUGUAUGCAAAUUGGCAUGAUGGCUAUCAAUCCUAUGUGGGAUGUCAAUCAAGUUCCCAACUGAUAUUUACAAACAAAGCACAAUCAACAUGAAAAAAUCAUUUACUUACGAUCAGCUAUAUGAAAAAUAUUAUGUUAAUCUUUUGCUAAUCACCAUUUCUGUGAAUUUCUUUUCCUGGAUCUUAAACAUUUUUUUAUCACCAACAAUGUUA
rnacentral:misc_RNA from 1 species